rnacentral:rRNA from 2 species
GCCUGCGGCUUAAUUUGACUCAACACGGGGAAACUCACCAGGUCCAGACAUAACUAGGAUUGACAGAUUGAUAGCUCUUUCAUGAUUUUAUGGGUGGUGGUGCAUGGCCGUUCUUAGUUGGUGGAGUGAUUUGUCUGGUUAAUUCCGAUAACGAACGAGACCUUAACCUGCUAAAUAGCCAGGCCGGCUUUCGCUGGUCGCCGGCUUCUUAGAGGGAC